rnacentral:snRNA from 1 species
GUGUUCACUUCAGCAGCGCAUAUACGAAAAUUGGAAUGAUACAGAGAAGAUUAGCAUGGUUUCUGUGCAAGGACAAUAUGCAAAUUUGUGAAGCAUUUUU